GCUUCCGGAACAGCAAAGCCGGCCUGCAAUGCCGUGUAUACGGCAUUGCAGGCCGGCUUUUGUCAUU
rnacentral:sRNA from 1 species